rnacentral:lncRNA from 1 species
ACCGCGGGAACUGGGCAGGAAAGACCUCGCGCUCCCCCCGGCCCCGCUGUCCCGAAUCCCUCCCUGUGAGGGAAUGCCGGCUCUGCAGUGCCGGGAACACCCCGUGACGAUCCCCCGGGAAAGGAAAUCCCGGCUCCGGUGUCCCAGGAAUUCCAGGCAGGACGACAUGGAACCUUUUUCUCUCUCUGAGCUCGGGCUCCCAACAGAAAACAAAGCUAUCCAGGGAAUUCUCUGCCCCAUGGCUGUGGAGCUCUGCCACCUCCUCCUCGCCCUGCAACGCGAAGAUUGGAUUUGUUCGGCCUUUCCCACUUUGGGGGAAAAGGCAGGACAAUUAGCCAAAGCUAUGGAAGAACUCGCUGCUGUGGCAAGGAGGCUGUCCGAGGAUUCCGGGGAGGAAGGGAGCACGGAGGCGUGUCCCGUGGGUGAAUCCCUGCUCCAGGCUGGCAGGGACGUGGUGCUGGCAGCAUUCCAGCUCCAGGAGCAUCCGGACAGCCCUCGGCACCGAGAGCUCCUGGCUGCGGCCGCCAGGAGGAGCCUGAUGGAGACAGCAAAGAUCCUUCAUCUGGAAGAGGCUGCAGGAAUGAGGAGGAUCAGUGGCGCUGCCAGCUGGCUCCUGGAAUGCCUGGGCGUGCUGCGGGAUGCCCGGGACACUGCAGGGCUGCUGGCUGCAUUCCAGCCCUUCGCUGAGGCCGUGCUCCUGUUGAGCCGCCUGACAGCCGAGCGCCUCCAGGAACUCCGGGACUGUCCUGCAGGGAAGAGCUUGGCCCAGACCCUGCAGCUGCUCCACAAGUGCGUCCCACUCAUCCACACAGCCCUGACACGUUCCAGGGACAGCCAAGCUGACCUCUCCCAGGAUUCUGUUUUCCAGCUGACGGAGAGGACCAUCAGGGAGCUCCUCUCGCUGCUCACGGAGCCCCAAGACAGGAGUGGGAUCUUCUCCCAGCAGCUGAGCAGGCUCCAGGCUCUCCUCUCCCACCCUGACCCCCUGCGCCUUUCUGAGGGCGGGUUCAGCUCCCACUUGGACGCGGUCAUUCUCCAUGGAAUGCUGCUGGCAGAGUCAUCCAGGCUGGAUGUGCAGCUGGAGCUGGUGGAACGUUGCUGGGCCCUGCUGCAGCUGAGGAGGAGCAUCUGCAGCCACAUGAGCCAGAGGGAUGGCCAGGGAGAACAUGGCCUGGAGCGGGAAUGUCACAGCUUGAGGGAGGAGCUGGAAAACCUGGACCGGGCAGCACUCAGGGCCACACUGUGCCAAAUCCUGGAUGGAUUCUUCCAGGAGAAGGAGCCCCUGAGGCAGCUGGUUGAAGGUGCCCUUAGCCUCGCCCAUUCAGGAUGCUGUCCAGCAGGAGCAGGAGGAAUUUUAAGGAAGCUCCAGCCCCUCAUUGCCGCCUUCUUCGCUCAGGCCCAGCAGAUGCUCCGAGCGGCCGAUCUGCUGCUGGCCAGGUGUGCCAAGGCCCAAAGUGCCAGGGAAAUCCGGGAGGGCAUGGAGCACCUGCGGAGCCGCCUGGCCAGCCUCCCUUCCCUGCUCAUGGAAACAAGUGGGAAUGCCAUGGAGCAGCUCCAGGCCUUGUGCAGUGCCUGGGCCAGAGCCACCAACAGCCUCCUGCACUGCUUUGAGGAGACCAUUGGCAUGAGGGAAUUCCUUGAGUUAUCCAUCCUGGAGCUGGCCAAGCAACAGGAAUGGUGUGAAGCAGCACUGGAAUGCUGGGAUCCUGAGGGAUUCUCCUGCCACAGUGCUCACCUCAUGGGCUGGGCACGUUGGGUGGUGGGAGCCUCCACCCGGCAUGUGGACAGGACCACGGAUCCCAUCUUCAGGAAUGGUUUGCUGGUGUGGGUGGAGCAAUUGGCCAAAUCUAUCCUGGAGCUGGGAGCAGUCACGGCCCUCAUUCCAGGAAGGUUUUCCUGCCUCCAAAGCCAGGGUGCUUUUUCCCAGGCAGCCAGCUCCCUGCUGGACUCUGCUCUCCGUGUCCAAGCCGGGCUGGAUGGGUCCAACCACCCAGAGAUUCUCAGCCCGCUCCGGGAGCAGGUGCGGAGCACCAAGGUGGAAAAGGGGCUGGAGCUCAGCCUGUCCCACACUGGGACACGAGCCAGUACUGAUGAGGCAGCGUUCCAAGGAAAUAUCCAAAGUCAUCCAUCUUCACCACCAGCUAACCCCCACCUGGAUCCAUGGAAAGGGGAUACACACCCUGUCAUCACAGCUCUCCUGGGAGCAUCCCAGGCCGGUGACAUGGACACUGUCCAUGCUGCCAGCUCCAUCCUGCUGGAGCUCUCUGAUGGAUAUGUGGAAGCAGCACGGGAAGCACUGCCUGUGGCUGAACCCCCCCAGCUGCAGGUGCUGGAGCAGCACUGGGAUAUCAAAGCACUUACCCCAGGGAUCAUCAGCCUGGCCAUGGAAACGGCCCCUGGGCAGCUCCCUGCUCCAGGCAGGCUUCUCCAAAUGGCACUCAGGCUCUCGGGAAGGAUCCAGGAGACUCGGGAGUGCCUGGCAGCUGUGGCAGGCUCUUGGAAUGGUCUGGCCCAGCAAGUGCUUGGAUUUAUCCUGUCAGGUGACUUUCCAAGAGGGAAGCAGGCUUUGGAUGAGACCCUGCUGGGCUUAGCAGGAGCAGUGCAGAUGGCAGGAGGCAUUGCAAGCGUAGCCUGCAGUAGGGAAAAUCCUAAUCCCUCUCAUAUCCAGGAGAGCUUUCUGCAGCUCCAAGCCAAGUUUUCCCAUGCUCAGCUGAACACCAAAGGGUUCCUGGAGAAGGCAGUGUCCUUCAGGGAAUCCUGUGGGAUGGAAAAGGCCAUGCUGGAGCUGCACGGUGUCCGGUGGGCCAUUGGCAUGUGUAUCCUGCUGGAUGCCAUGGAUCAGUUCGUGGGCAGGGAUGUCCUGUUCCUGAGGGAGCUGAGCAGAGCCGUGAGGAGCAAGGUUUGCCCACGGAGCCUCCUGGCUGCUGUGGCUGAAAAUUCCCUCAGGUUGCAGGAGGCUGCCUGGCUCUCCUACUUAUCCUGCCCUGGAGACCACGAUGCCAGAGAAAUCCUGGCGCUCCGGGAGGAGAUCCAGGUGUUCAUGGAAGCACUGCUGGAUGUGUCCAACACCCUCCUGCUCUCCCCACUGCCUACUGCCAGCCUGGCCACCCGCUUCGAGCUCCUGCAGAGGGACGUGGCCCUCAGGGCCAAGGCGUUGCUGCUCCACAUGGAAAGGGUCAACAAGGAACAGCUGCAGCUGAUCCAAGAUGUGGUUGGAGCAGCUCUGUCCAACCUCACCCAAGAGGAGAGGCAGAGGAGCAAAGAAGGCUUUGAGGAGAAGGCAAAUCAGCUCAUGGCUGAUGUCCAGAGGGUCAGAAACACCCUCCAGGGUGCUCUGGGGGCCAGUGCUCAACUUACAUCCCAGCCUGACCUGCUAUCCAUGGCUGACCACCUCCUGCUCCUCACAGCUGACGUGGUGGGAAGCGCCCGGCGGCACUUCCAGAGCCACCAGGACCCUGGGGAUCCCUGCCAGGCCCCUGGGGAUCCCUGCCAGGCCGCUGGGGAUCCCCACCUGGAAGGCAUGGUGUGGUACUGGUCGGCCAAGGCUCACUACCUUGUCACACAGCUCUGGGUUAUCCAUAGAAUUGACAGGGACACCCUGCGGUGCCUCACAGAAUGCCUGCAGCGGGAACGCUGCCCAGGAUCACCCAGCAGCACAGCUGGACUCUCCCCAGCCCCAGAGCCCCCUGAGGCAGCAGGAAUUCAUCCAUGCAGGAGCAGAGGAGAGAGUGGAGCUGUGCAGGAAGUGCAUGAACUGAAACAUCCAGGUGGAGGAGAGCACUUGGCAUCGCUGUGUCCACACAUUCCAGGUCUGGAAUCUGCUCCAUUACUGCCCCGGCAGCACCAGGAUGGCCCUUCCAGCACCUGCCCUGCAAAGCAGGAGAGAGCAAACUGUGCCAAGUGGCAGGGUGGCCCCAGCAGGGUGUCCCAGGUGACCCGGGACAUGGCCACGAGGAGGCUCCACAUGGCUCAGUUCCUGCGCAGGAAGGGCCCCAUUGCGAGCAAGGAGCAGUUUGUUGCAUGUGCCAGACAAAUGAUUUCCGACGGGCAGGUGGUUGUUAAGUUUGGGAACAUCCUUGCCAAGCACUGCCUGGACCAGAGAUGCUCCAUGGAGCUGCUCCGUGCCACUGAGCACGCCCAAUCCAUCAGCAGCCAGCUCGGCAUCGUGGCCAGGGUGAAAGCAGUGACUGGGGAGAGCAGGGCCUCCUCUGAGCUGCUGCUCAGCAACGUGCAGAACCUCCUUCAAGCAGUGCAGCACAUCCUGAGGGCGGCCGAGGCGGCCUGUGUCAAAGGUUUGGGACAACCCCCAGCAGACCCUGAAGAAGAAGAAGUUGCUGCUUUCUGCCAGCAGUGGAGGAAAAACCUGACACAGCACAGAGCCAAGGAGGCCUUAAAUUCCACCCGGGAUGAAUUAGGGCUCCGGAAAACUCGAGGGGCAAAGGCUGAGCCCACCCUGAUGUCUCUGGUGCAAGAGCAACCCCCUUGGAGCAGGAAUAUCCCAAAGCAUCCCAGUCCCAGGAAAGGACACACAGUUAUGGACAGACAUCUGUAAAUCCAGAGGGGCUGCUUGUCCCAGUGCUGUUGGAAGCAAAGGAGGAAUACUUUGCAGUGUGCAGGAUUCAUGUUGGAGUUUUUCAUUGUGGCAGGAAAAUCUUGGAACAGGCUCCGAGGGGAGGCCAGGAAUCUUCUG